rnacentral:lncRNA from 1 species
CCCCUCUUGCGCCCCCAAGACAUAGGUCCAUGCUUCUUUUUUUGGAUGCGUGCCUCUGACAAGCAGAAUUCUUGUUUUUGCAGCUACGCACAGCAAGAUUUUACACGUAAGAUGUUUGCUUACAUUCCCACCUUCAGUGCCUUGUACAACUGCUACUUUUCAUCUCACUUUUCCUGCAAUGUGUCAUGUUCAUAGUUGUCAAUGUCGACCUCACUUGAUAUCUUUUGGUUUUGUUACGAGAAGAUCAAGAUCUUUGAUAAGAUAGUAAUGACACUUUGUUCUGCAAUCAAGGAAUGAAUGGAACUUCAAGACCCUGUUGAACAUGCACUCAAUUUAGCCACAAAGAAAAAUAAGAACAAUUGUGUUGGGCAACCUCGCCCACAGGAGGAAAAGCUCACAGUUUGGAUGAGGAUCUGUAGUCCAAAGGUUGGUCAGGUCCUGAUGGAUUGAGAAGGUGAAUAAAUCUAUUCUUGUGAUU